rnacentral:tRNA from 17 species
GUCCCUAUCGUCUAGAGGCCUAGGACAUCGCCCUUUCACGGCGGUAACCGGGGUUCGAAUCCCCGUA